AUAUUGCACAAUGGGGGAAACCCUGAUGCAGCGACGCAGCGUGCGGGAUGACGGCCUUCGGGUUGUAAACCGCUUUCAGCAGGGAAGAAGCGAAAGUGACGGUACCUGCAGAAGAAGUACCGGCUAACUACGUGCCAGCAGCCGCGGUAAUACGUAGGGUACGAGCGUUGUCCGGAAUUAUUGGGCGUAAAGAGCUCGUAGGUGGUUGGUCACGUCUGCUGUGGAAACGCAACGCUUAACGUUGCGCGGGCAGUGGGUACGGGCUGACUAGAGUGCAGUAGGGGAGUCUGGAAUUCCUGGUGUAGCGGUGAAAUGCGCAGAUAUCAGGAGGAACACCGGUGGCGAAGGCGGGACUCUGGGCUGUAACUGACACUGAGGAGCGAAAGCAUGGGGAGCGAACAGGAUUAGAUACCCUGGUAGUCCAUGCCGUAAACGUUGGGCACUAGGUGUGGGGGACAUUCCACGUUCUCCGCGCCGUAGCUAACGCAUUAAGUGCCCCGCCUGGGGAGUACGGUCGCAAGGCUAAAACUCAAAGGAAUUGACGGGGCGGG
rnacentral:rRNA from 1 species